GACGGAGGAUGCAAGUGUUAUCCGGAAUCACUGGGCAUAAAGCGUCUGUAGGUGGUUUAAUAAGUCAACUGUUAAAUCUUGAGGCUCAACCUCAAAAUCGCAGUCGAAACUAUUAGGCUAGAGUAUAGUAGGGGUAAAGGGAAUUUCCAGUGGAGCGGUGAAAUGCGUAGAGAUUGGAAAGAACACCGAUGGCGAAGGCACUUUACUGGGCUAUUACUAACACUCAGAGACGAAAGCUAGGGUAGCAAAUAGGGGAU
rnacentral:rRNA from 1 species